AAGUCGUAACAAGGUUUCCGUAGGUGAACCUGCGGAAGGAUCAUUAUGAAUCAGUAGCUUGCUACUGCGCUGGGGGAGAUGGGAAAGUCCUGGCUGAAAAGUCAGUGUACCGGUACCUGCACCCCUAUCAUACCCUUGUCUUUUGAGCACUUAUGUUUCCUUGGUGGGCUUGCCUGCCGAUAGGACAACUUUUAAACCUUUUUAAUAUGUCAAUCAGCGUCUGAAAAAUAAUUAAUAAUUACAACUUUCAACAACGGAUCUCUUGGUUCUG
rnacentral:misc_RNA from 1 species